UGAGAGCUGUAUUUUUGUUGUUUAUGGCCACUGUGCCAUCUAUCCUCUAUUUUCCAUUUCCUCUUUCCAUCUUAAAGUUGGCCUUCAUGUAGGACUGUAACGGUACACAAAGCUUCAUAGAAUACCUCAGUUUUGAGGUUUGAUUCAAAGUCCUUUAGUACAGCUCAGAAUUGACCAUUAAACUAUCAGCUGAAGAGUUCCAGGUUUUCUGACCAUGUGUACCGUUCCAUCCUGAUGUGGUCAGCGUGCUGUUGUAACUUUUUGUUUCCAGGUUGAUCAUCCUUCUGUUCGUCUCCCCGUAGUUUAGCCUUUAGUGCGUCGUUUAGAUGAUCCCUCAACAGUAAGUCUCACUUUCCAUACUUAUUUUGCUGGUUUGUCUCUCCUCGGCCGCCGUGCCGACCUGUCCUGUCUUUCCAACAUGGCCGCCGUGCCGUGUUUUUCGCAUCCUGGCCGCCGUGCCGCUUCUUCAGCCUGUCUCUAUCCAUUUCUCACCAUGCGUCGUCCAGCAUGGCCGUCGAUCCGUAGUUUGAAACCAUGCUGGAGAAGACAUUUUCUCUGGAUCUAUGGAUAGUAGGUGGUAAGUUUCUUUAAAUGUUGGUUCUGGUGUUGGGCUCAGUCUUGAUCUCUCAUUCUCUCUCUUAGUAUGUCUAUAAUGGCCGGUUUGCUAAACUUACUGUGUAAUAGAGCUGUGAAGAGUAUUGCGUUCGUUUAGCAGUAUAUUCUCGUGUUGUACAAAUGCCUUCAUGUGUCUGCUGUAUCGGUCUGUAUUUAAAGAUGGUCAUCGCCUCCAACAGCCAAAUUCAUAGACUGUAGUGUAGCUGUGGGCAUCUUUACAUACAGACUGUGCAGUGUGGUCAAGCUGCCUUGUUGUGGCUCAGCAGUUGCAACGAGGCAGCUUCACCUGACAAGUGAUCUCUGUCAUACUGAACUGUCAUCUCCUGCAUGGCCAGCACCUCUUUAUAUCUGUACCUGUCUGUCAAGCAUGAUCACUAUAUCUGCCACGCCUGUGGCUACCACACCCUCCUCUCCCAAAGCAGGUGGAUCAGCUGUUCAAACUGAUGCUACAACAGGACGGAGCUGCGGCAGGAGCAUCUGCUUCAUUUUCUGCUUCAUAGCUGAACUUCCAGAGAUGAUGGCUGGAAACAGUCUUCAGAGUCUAAAGGCCUCGGCUGCACAAACGGAAGACAACUGUAGCAUUUGUGGAUGAAGUUACUACUGUCAAACUGCAUGAUGAAUCUAAAAUCAGGUGGAUCAGCUGUUCCCUCAUUCACAAAUCUGAUGCAGGACAGGAUGGAGCUUCCUCUGGAAUAUUGGCUUUAUUUCCUGCAUAAAAGCUGGAUUUCCAGAGACGCCAGUUGGAAAUGGAACCCUAAGAGUUUGAAGGCCUCGGACACACAACACCAGACCAAACAUGGAAUUAGAUGCCAUCUGACUGCAUGAGGAGCCUAAAAUCAGACCACAGGUCAGUAAAACUAACUGUAAGUUUAUUGAAUGUUUGUGAAGUUGACCAUGUGAGCGUCGGCGUGACCAAGGCCUGGUGACCCUGACGCCUCUUCAGCCUGUCCAUUCAACGCCAUGCACCAUCCGUCAUGGCAGCCAAGCUGUAGUUUGGAGCCAAGAAGACAUUUUAUUUGGAUCUAUGGGAAGUAAGUGUCAUCUCUUCCAAAUGUUUGUUCUGGUGGACCAUUGGUUCAGUUUCAUCUUCACCGACAUGAUAAACAAAUGUUGGUUUCCAAACAAAAUGAGCAAUAACUAACAGUAGUAAUUUAUCUACCUAUUGUCUUAAACACAACAAUACAAAUAAAUAGAUGAGACGGAUCCAUUGGUAAUGCCAAACAAAAUCAAUUUAUGAUCAAAAUUUGAAAAUGUGUCCUACAAUAAAAUACAUUCUGAAUAGUUUGAAUUAAAUACAGUGGCAGAAGCCAGUGUCUUGUCCAGCAGAACACCUUUUUUUGGAUGGUAUGAAGCAGGUGGAUCAGCUGUUCCAUAGUUCACCAAACUUCUGCCAGGAUGGAGCUGUGGCAGGAAUGUCUGCUUCCCUUUCUGCUGAACUUGUAGAGGCGCCGACUGGAAACAAAGUCUUCAGAGUUUGUUGAAGGCCUCAGACGCACCAGCGGAAGACAACUGUGACCACCCAGUCAAUUCAGGUGAAGCAACUUCUGCAGCUGGCAAGUAUGAUUUUUAAGUUCACUUUUUGUUUGGCUGCUGGGUCUCUGUCUUCUGUCUAUACCUCUGUCUCAUCUCUCAUUGAGGAGUCAUCUAUCUGUCCUGAUCUAGUUACCUCAGCAUGCAUCCAGAGCCUUUAUCACACAUGGGAAAUGUUGCAUUUCUGCUUCAUUGGGCUUUUCAAGUGGUCGCCUUUAAUGUUUAUACAGAGGCACAACAUAUGUUUAGUAAAGGGCCACUGUUUUUUAGUUACUCACACAAGAUUAGAUCAUAGAUUAAGUUUCAGAAUUUACUAAACAAUCUGAAUUUCCACAUGAAGCAGACACUUUCUGAUGCUGUCAGAUUAACAUGAAGUAGUGCAUGUAUGAAAAGAGCUUCUGUCUGUCAUCAGAUUGGAACAAUAUUAAUGCAAUAACUUCUCAUGCAUUUUUUUCCUCCAGGUGGUGCUCUAAACAGUGCUGGUUGUCUUUAGUUGUAUGUUUUCAGGACCUUUAGAAUAUUUAGUUUUGCAAAAUUACAGGACAGUGAGCAAUAUAUAACAUAGUAUUUAUUUUUUUUAAUAUAAAUAUAAUAUAGAAAUAUCUAAAAAUAUCUUUAAAUUAUAAUAUUUUGAAUAAUUUACCAAUAUUUUUACAAAUAGCAAUUUGCUCUUCUAGUGGUUUGCUAAGUUUAUUUACUGAAUUUAAAAUAUAACUUUAUCAUGAUAUAAAAAAUUCAUUUUAACACUUGUGUAAUUAAUGCUAGUUUGAUGUUUAUAAUUUAAGGUUUUAGUACUUAUUGUAUUUUUUUAGCAAUGAUCACUUUGUCCAAUUGUUUUACUACUGCAUUUUUUAUUUUACCAGUCUUAUUUUGUCUUAUUCAGUGGUGUUGGUGUGAAUUGGUUACUAAAUCUGUUUUGUCAGUUGCUUGUAAAGCAGUUUGAACUUUGUUUUAUUUAAAAAGUGCUGUAUGAAGUUUUAUGAUUUCAGGUUUAAUCAAAGUUCAUUUCAAUGUUAUAAUCAGCUGUAUUUACUCUUAGUGCUCCAGAGCCCCUAUUUGUUUAAAUGAUGUAAAUUUCUAGAAUAUUGCUGUUCAAUCAUGUGUUACUGAUACCACACAUUUAAAAUGGAUGUUGAAUGAAAGUGCUUUGUGCUUUGCAGUGUAAAAAAUUCAUAUUAAUCUAAUUUUUCAAUUUUAAAUAUUAAUAUUCUACAAUAUUCGUUUUUGGAUCUUAAGCUUUAACAUUUAAUUUAGUCAAAUUUCUAUCAAUCUGUAUUUGUAUCUCCAUAUAGGCUUGAAAUAGAUGAUUUGCCAAAAGAAAAGAUGAAGUUAUUAGACUGUCAGUGAGUCCAGAUGAGUUGCUGUUAACAUUGCCACCUUAAUUUAAUAAUUGUACUUCGUCACAGGUUAAAUUCUGGCUGCUGUCGCUCUGCCAGGUUUAUUCCAACAGCAGACUCAAGUCAGAGUUUAGGUUUUGCAUCCUUUAGGAUUUUUAUUUGGGAGGCCUCCCAGCAGGGGAUUUUAACCAAACCCCUGCAAAGCGUAACUUCAUUAGUCGGUGACAAACUUCACCGACAGUUCAUGUAUGUUUUUAUACGUAUGUAGGAUGGUUUGGGGGUUGGUUGAGUUGUUGGAGGGGCUAAACACGGCAGAGUGACAACUUAAAGCUCAGUGACUGUUAAGAAGCUCCUAGACACCCAACUUGGGUUUAUUUUCUGUUUUAUGGUGACGAGGACAACAGCAGCUACAACUGGAAACCUCACUGACAUAAUGAGUAACUUUGUCCUAUUUUUAAUUCUCAUUACAUUGAACUGAGUUACAGAGAUGAUCACUAGGUUAAUGGGUGUCUCAGUAGAAAUACAGGACACAAAGCACUUGCAUUUCAUUUGGUGACAAUUUUAAUUGGCUCAGUAAUGUAGGUUUUUUAUCUGCGCUGUUUUAAAUGUUUUAUGUGCAGCACUUGUAUCAAUGCUGGCCGUCUGUUUGAUUUUUGUUUAGUUUAAGCAGCUGCUGUGUUUGACUUGUCAUUUCUAACAUGUGGAAAACAUUGUGCUCGUACUUGGACAAUUGUAGCGUCAGAAUGUAAGCGCUUUGUGGACAAAACUGUGCCUGAAUGACUGAAAUACUGUAACUUAUGUUAUUGCAUUGCAAAUUUUGAACUAACUGGGGAUGGUGGGGGGGGAAAGUCAUGCGCAUGUUGACAGCUGUGUCUGUCAGGAAUUUUAUAAAUUACUUCAUUUGUGGUAUUUUGUUGACUGAGUUUCACAGUAUUAGAGUAUUGUCUAGCUUGAUUUGUAACUUGAAAUUCACCAGGGGUUUUAUUCCUUAUCAAGAUGCAGUAUUUGAUGUUUGGUUUGUAAAAUGUCACUCAGUGUUUUCUCGGUCUAAAGAUACUCAGUUUACUGUAGCAGUUGUGGGGAGGAAAAACAAUAUAUUCACAUCUAGGAAGCCAAUCACAAAAUUUUCCUUAUUUUCUCCAAAAAGUCAAACAAUGAUUUGCUAAAAUAGUUGACAAUCGAUCAUCACUAUAAAGUCAACAUUAAACAGGCUUAAUUUAUUUGCUACUACAUUUCUGGCUUCUAAAUUUGACUAAUUGCUGAAUAAGUUGCUACAUGUGAAAAGUUAAACUGAAGGAGUCAAUCUGACAAAUUCAUCUUGAUUCUAAAAUAUGAUGACCAAAUCUGAGCUAAAAAUCAAGAUUUAUUUAUAAAUAUCCUACGUCUGACUUUAAAUUAGAAUUUUUCAAAUAGAGUUCAGUUUAAAGGUUCAUUCUAGAGCAGCAACUAAUUAAAGAGAUUUUUCAAUUAAGCAAUUAGCUGCUUCGUCAACUUAUUUUUAAAUAGAUCAUUGCAUUCUAAAACACAACUUUUAAUCCCACUUUCCAGUGUUCACAUCUUCAAUAAUCAUUUCUAGAUAGUGUAAACGGCAUAAAAUUAUGCAAAGACCAAGCAUGUCAGAAUCUCAUCCAAAUUAACUUGACAUCCUGGAGCCCAUUUAUUUCUUUGUAAAUAAAUGUGGCUUCACAAACUGGUUUUGUUGGGCGAAGUCGUCUCCGCACUGCAGAGAACGAGGUCAGAGUCGACUCGUAUCAUAAGAUGGCAAGGCUUUUCUCCUUCCCCUUCUCCUCUGUAUGCAAUGACAGCUGAGCUCAAAGAAACCCAAAGAGAAAAUGAUAACCCCACGGUUGGGCAGUUUUCAAAAUCAGACAAGGAUCCAUCUGGUUUUGAGAAACCGCACAUCGUGUAAAUGAGACUUGAAACAUCGGAUUCUGAUAUGUUUUGGAGAGGAUUGCGAGGAAACACAUGAUAGACUUUGUUGUAUAGGAGCAAUAUUAGACAAAGUUGAUAUAAUUCUGCACUUCUCUGUGCAAUAGAAACUAUAACUGAUUCUGUUGUGACUAAGGAAUGACAAAUUCAGAGUUUUCAGUUGAACUGUAGGCUGUGCUAACAGAGAAGAGGCAAUAAUAGACUGAGAAAUACAAACUAGAUCAAUAAAAUGAUGCAAGGAUCAAAUUGUACAGCAGAGCAAAUUGUUGGAAGAUGUGUUCAGCAUCGUGAAAUAUUUUUCUAAAAUUGGUGUGCAGAGUAGAACGACAAUGCAGACUUUGUAGUGUUUUAAAAUUGUAGUUUAUCUAUAGAAUGUGGAGACAAAACAACCCCAAAAAUAGACAUGACAAAAAUAAGGAGGUACAAAACAAACUCAAUGGUUAAAUAACUUGGUAUGGAGAGCCACAAUGUUAGUGUUUCUGUUUGUGUCCCUCCCCCCUUAUUGGUAACACAUUUCAAAAGUGUUGAUACAUUUUCUUGAAUUUUUCUGAUUUGUGAUUCUGUCAUAUUGCACAAAAGAGAUUUGAGUUCUCUCCAUGUCUGACCAUUGUUGUGCUGUUUCCAUUCAGGUGCUCUGUAUUUGUCAAAGCAAAUCAUGUUGUUGUGUUUUGCAUUUGUGGUUGUGUUUUUGUUCUUCAAUUCUGUCUGCGCAAAGAACUUGUGACUCUACAAACCAUAUAAUCAGCACCGCUGGCCAUCAGGCCAUGGGACUCUUGGACUGUAGAGCUUGGAUGUGAUUAAAUCACAUGAGACUUGAACUGAUGGACAAAUAACAAGCUCUACACCUUGCAGGACGCCUGCACUGGACUUUUACGGAUUGUUGCGUCUUUGGCCAUUGUUGGACAAACAUGGACAUUCUGGCCAACUUUUGGAUCUCCUGUGAACUUACUGUGUUGCGUUCUAACGAAAUGGGAUUUUGCUUUAGCUGCGGAUGACUAAGUUUAGUUUCCUAAAAGUGGGAUAAAGACACUCCCACUCCUGAUGCCGGAUGAGAAGAACCAUGUCUGUGGUUGAAGAGCUGCAGGAUGGAGAUGACGUGUCAUCGUUGGAGAACUGGACCUGAGGUCUGCUGAGGACGAUGGUGGCUGCAGAGGACGGAGGACGCUGCUGCUCAGAAGAUGCUGAGGAGGAGGACGGCCAGAUGACGACGCAUCAACGGAUGUCCAACAUUGAGGAAAGAAGACCUAACUGAUCUGACGGAGCACAUUCCCUAGAUCUUCAGUUCUCUGAUCACUUGAUUCCACACAAGUCGGAUUACCUUUACCCUUAGGGUAAAGCCCAAACAGUGACUGGUUUCAGUUAGUCCCUGACUCCUAAGACUGAACAUUAUGAACUCAAAUCAGAUGAUGUUAUGGAUGCUCCUGAAAAUGUGCUUAGAUGUAUGUUUGUGAA